UGUUCCUCAUUCAAUCCUCUGUGUUUACUUCAUGUUUUGGACCCACAAGGUCUCAGAGGACCAAUCAGAGCCCAGCUACAGACCACAUGAUCAACCAGGGUGAUUCUUGUCUCUAUGAAACAAUCAAAGGCUCUGAAGAACCUGAACAAGAUGAAUCCAGCCUCACAUAUUCUAUGAUUGAGCUCAAACACUUUAAAAAGAAGGGGAAGCACGAUGAACCAGAAGAGAGCCCCGUUCACUCGGAUGUGAGGGUCGCAUCAGCUGCAGGUUCAGUCCACACCAACACGGCCUCCUGCUGUUUAA